CGGGAGCAGCAUAAAUAGCUUUAGCGCCAUUUUCUCGAUUAAUAAAUGCGAAAUGAACAAGAUCUGAAGCGGGUCGCUUCGCCCCUUUCUCCGGUAAUAGGGGUUCCCACCGGUUCAACUACAUGGGGUUAGCCCGGAGCAGGGGAAAUUGUUGAACCGGAGCAGGCAAUUGAACCAGAAAUACGCUUGAAUUCAGUAUAAAAGAAUACUUAGAGAUGGGAGCGUGCUAGUGAAUUUCUCAUCCCAUUUAGAACUGGGAGGAGCGAAAUGAAUAGCUACAACCGCUUUUGCGGGAGAAACUGCUUACAAGUCAAUUCUUAAGUGCGUAGCCAUUGUUUAUGGUUUCGGGCAGUGGAAAUCCUUCUUUCCAAAGAAUAGGAUAUGAAGAGGAAUAGAAUCAAUUCGGAUAGGAAGAAGAAGAGGAAUGAACAGAUCUUGGGGCGUAGCGUCCUUGACUGGAAAUCUUUCCCUUUGUCUGCUGCUCUAAACCUGGCCGUAAGCCAAGCAUUGAGAGUGGAAAAGAGGUUACACGAAUCGAAAUCCUAUUCCCUUUCCC
rnacentral:misc_RNA from 1 species